UUUGAUCCUCGGCUCAGAUUGAACGCUGGCGGCAUGCCUUACACAUGCAAGUCGAACGGUAACGCGGGGCAACCUGGCGACGAGUGGCGAACGGGUGAGUAAUGUAUCGGAACGUGCCCAGUCGUGGGGGAUAACUGCUCGAAAGAGCAGCUAAUACCGCAUACGACCUGAGGGUGAAAGCGGGGGAUCGCAAGACCUCGCGCGAUUGGAGCGGCCGAUAUCAGAUUAGGUAGUUGGUGGGUAAAGGCCCACCAAGCCAACGAUCUGUAGCUGGUCUGAGAGGACGACCAGCCACACUGGGACUGAGACACGGCCCAGACUCCUACGGGAGGCAGCAGUGGGGAAUUUUGGACAAUGGGCGCAAGCCUGAUCCAGCCAUGCCGCGUGCGGGAAGAAGGCCUUCGGGUUGUAAACCGCUUUUGUCAGGGAACGAAAAGGCUCCUUCUAAUACAAGAGGGCUCAUGACGGUACCUGAAGAAUAAGCACCGGCUAACUACGUGCCAGCCGCCGCGGUA
rnacentral:rRNA from 1 species